UGGGGGAUAUUGCACAAUGGGCGAAAGCCUGAUGCAGCGACGCCGCGUGGGGGAUGAAGGCCUUCGGGUUGUAAACUUCUUUUGCUCUGAACAAGGCAUGCCUUUGGGGUGUGUUGAGUGUAGGGGUUGAUUAGCGCCAGCUAACUACGUGCCAGCAGCCGCGGUAAUACGUAGGGCGCGAGCGUUGUCCGGAAUUAUUGGGCGUAAAGGGCUUGUAGGUGGCUGGUUGCGUCUGUCGUGAAAGCUCAUGGCUUAACUGUGGGUUUGCGGUGGGUACGGGCUGGCUUGAGUGCAGUAGGGGAGGCUGGAAUUCCUGGUGUAGCGGUGGAAUGCGCAGAUAUCAGGAGGAAUACCGGUGGCGAAGGCGGGUCUCUGGGCUGUUACUGACGCUGAGGAGCGAAAGCGUGGGGAGCGAACAGG
rnacentral:rRNA from 1 species